CCUGCUUCUCUGCAUUCCACAGCAGGGGGCUGGGAGCUCCAGGACUUCAGUGAAUGUCAGGGAAGACUCGUGGGUUGCGGGCAGUGGGGAGGCUCGGAACAGAGCUGUCCCUGGGCAAUGCUGGGUCUCUGGCAACUGAGCACAUGGGGCAGGGGGGUGAGGGGGUAUCCAGGCUGUCAAGAUCGCCGGCUUGCAAGGAGGGUCUGCGGUCGGUGUCUUUCUGAGCCCCCGGGGAAGGUUAGUGAUGCCAUCAGCAGUAGCCGAGGCCUUCUGUGCUGCUCCAGUCAAGGUAAAACCUUUGAGGGGACAGACUGUGUUUCUGGCAAGGAAAUGAAGCCCCAAGUUCAUGGGAAGCACCCUGCACUUAAGUGGCUCCCUAGGGGUCAGGCGGCCUGUGAGCACAGUCAGAGGAGGACCUUCGUGCUCCAGGAAUCGACCUUCCUUCUGUGGGUCCAAAAUGAACCGCCAUGUUUUAGCUUCUUGCCCAACCUACAAGGCUUCCUUGGCAGUGGAAGGGCGCACGCGUAAUAUGCCAGCCAGUUUCAGACAAUCAUCGCAGCAACACUUUCCUCUCGACUCAACUGUUCCAAAGAAUCCUGCUCUGAGAAAACGACCUUCCCAUAAACGAAUGUACUGAAACCACGAACAUCUGAACGGUAAGGGAAUAUUUUUCUCCCAUACUGAUGUAUUCAGUUGCUAGGAGAUGGGUCUGGAACAGAAUUCCUAAAUUAAACUUUCUUGCAGACUUUUAUUGAACCUGGCUCUCUAAAGGAACACACGUCGUUUAUCAUGAGUGUCAGUGUGCAAAAACUUGUCGUUUCUGAAGAGAGAAGACACUUAACCAGGUCAGAAAGUAUGUGAUUCAGGCCUCUCACCAUCACAUUAAAAUAAGAGCAUGUCUGUGAGAGGCAGCUGUGUUGGGGAAGGGAAGCAAUAUAUUAAGAGGAAAAAAAAAAAAAGAUCCAGGACUUGUCAUUUAUUAGCUAUGUAACUUUGGAAGAUGACCUAACAUGUCUCAGCCUUGAUUUUACCCCAUCUGUAAAAUGGGGACAAUAUUUUUUUCCAUGAUUUUGCUGUAAAGUAUAAUUAGAUAUUAUAGUAAAAUAAGAUACCUUCUGAAAUAUGAAAUGCUGUUUGGAAACAGAAAUUAUACAAGUUUAUACUAAUGAUAUUUUAUUGCAGAAUAAUAAGCAUGUUUCCCACAUUUAAAAACUGUUUGUUAAAAAAAUCUGUUUGUUAAAAUCUCUUGGGGAAUAAAGCGCACGAUUAGGAAGUGGA